CAAUUUAAGAUCACUGGGGUCAGGAUUUGGCAAUCCACUAAUAUGAACGAGACUCCAAAAAAUAGGAUACCUUGACAGAGUUUGUUUACUGUAUUUAUCUGAGACCGCUACAACGCCGUACCCUCCUUGAUGUUUCCGAACAUAAGAGAUAAUAGAAUGCAACAAAUUAAAAACAUGUCCAAAUUGUACAUACUUGGUACAAAUGUCCUUUUCAAUGUUAAAAAUUGAGCAAACACAUUCAAGCUCAGCCGACGUACGGAGAGGCCAUAAUC